rnacentral:rRNA from 1 species
AUACGGAGGGGGCUAGCGUUGUUCGGAAUUACUGGGCGUAAAGGGCGCGUAGGCGGAUCGUCAAGUCAGAGGUGAAAGCCCUGGGCUCAACCUGGGAACUGCCUUUGAAACUAACGGUCUAGAGUCCGAGAGAGGAUGGCGGAAUUCCCAGUGUAGAGGUGAAAUUCGUAGAUAUUGGGAAGAACACCAGUGGCGAAGGCGGCCAUCUGGCUCGGUACUGACGCUGAGGCGCGAAAGCGUGGGGAGCAAACAGGAUUAGAUACCCCAGUAGUCC